UCUCCGUUGGUGAACCAGCGGAGGGAUCAUUACCGAGUUUUCAACUCCCAAACCCACUGUGAACUUAUACCUUUAUCGUUGCUUCGGCGGGUCUCGGCCCCGGCGCUGCCGCUCCCCUUGCCGGGAGGGGUAAGCCGGACAACACGGCCCCCGCCGGAGGACCCAAACUCUUGAAUUUUUCCGCGGACUGGCUUCGCGGCAGUUUGUAUUCUGAUUACUUCAAAACAUAAAUGAAUCAAAACUUUCAACAACGGAUCUCUUGGUUCAG
rnacentral:misc_RNA from 1 species